rnacentral:rRNA from 1 species
GAUUUCUGACUUUGGCGCGCUUGGCCCGCUACGUUUCUACGUUGGUGUGUGCCGAUGUGUGCCGGUCAUCCUUCGGGAGAGCCUUUCGGUCUCUUUACUGGGUCUCGAUUGGUCAUCUCGAUCUUUUACUUUGAAAAAAUUAGAGUGUUCAAAGCAGGCUUACGCUAUGAAUACAUUAGCAUGGAAUAAUAAUUUAGGACUUUGGUCUUAUUUUGUUGGUUUCUAAGACUAAAGUAAUGAUUGAUAGGGAUAGUUGGGGGUGCUAGUAUUCAGCGGCCAGAGGUGAAAUUCUUGGAUUCGCUGAAGACUAACUUAUGCGAAAGCAUU